CCAAUGUGUUGACAUCCACAUGUGUGAGGGUAACUCCUUGCAUCACGUGGCUCUGUCAGAUGUGGCGUACGGGAGCUGAAUGCUUUACUGCUUGAGGUGUAUUCCCAUUCCACAACAUUGGAGAGCAAAUCUGUCCCCUAUCCUCAGAUGGGCGAGGGCAGAAUCUUGUAUAUUCCAUAACCUUCCCAUAGUCACUCUGUGGCCAUAAUUGGGGAGAUAAACCAUGCAAGAUACAGCA